rnacentral:rRNA from 1 species
UACUGCCAGACUUGGAACCGGGAGAGGUAAGAGGUACGUACAGGGGUAGGAGUGAAAUCUUGGUAAUCCCUGUGGGACCACCUGUGGCGAAGGCGUCUUACCAGAACGGGUUCGACGGUGAGGGACGAAGCUGGGGGGCACGAACCGGAUUAGAUACCCGGGUAGUCCCAGCCGUAAACGAUGCUCGCUAGGUGUCAGGCAUGGCGCGACCGUGUCUGGUGCCGCAGGGAAGCCGUGAAGCGAGCCACCUGGGAAGUACGGCCGCAAGGCUGAACUUAAAGGAAUUGGCGGGGAGCACAACAACGGGUGGAGCCCUGCGGUUUAAUUGGACUCAACGCCGGACAACUCACCGGGGGCGACAGCAAUAUGUAGGCCAAGCUGAAGACUUUGCCUGAAUCGCUGAGAAGUGGUGCAUGG